GGCGUAGGCGGCCUUUCAAGUCGGAUGUGAAAUCUCCCGGCUCAACCGGGAGGGGUCAUCCGAUACUGCUGGCUAGAGGACAGCAAGGGAAGGUAGAAUUCCCGGUGUAGUGGUGGAAUGCGUAGAUAUCGGGAGGAAUACCAGUGGCGAAGGCGGCCUUCUGGGCUGUUUCUGACGCUGAGGCCCGAAAGUGUGGGGAGCGAACA
rnacentral:rRNA from 1 species